rnacentral:rRNA from 1 species
UACAGAGGGUGCGAGCGUUAUUCGGAAUGAUUGGGCGUAAAGGGUGCGCAGACGGUUUGUUAAGUCAACUGUUAAAUUUCCCGGCCUAACUGGGAGCUCGCAGUAGAAACUGGCAGACUAGAGGAUGGAAGAGAGAAGUGGAAUUCUCGGAGUAGCGGUAAAAUGCGUAGAUCUCGAGAGGAACACCGAUGGCGAAGGCAGCUUCUUGGUCCAUUUCUGACGCUGAGGCACGAAAGCGUGGGGAGCAAACGGG